AUCAGAUGCCAGCCCCCUGAGACAGAAUUGAAGCAACGCAGAAGUUCAUGGCAAAAGGGCAGUUGACCAUGGCGGAGUUGCUCAAGGUGGAAGCAACCCAUGUGUCCAACGACCGAUGAAUGGAUAAACAAAAUGUGGUCCAUCCACACAACGGAAUAUUAUUCAGCUUUAGAAAGGAGGGAAAUUUUGACACCUGCUACAACGCAGAUGAGUCUUGUGGACGUUACACUGAAUGAGAAGGCGGGUGCAAGGACGCUCCCAGCAACGUGACCCUGAGCCGUCGAGAACAGCAGACAACCCGAGCCGCCACCAGCAGGAGCACGAGGAGCCGUGGUUCAUCCGUACGCUGCAGUGAGAAGGCACAAG